AAUAACCUCAUUUUUCGUUUUUCCGUGUCCAACGUUUGACAUUUCGUCUUAUUUGAAAAAUUUGUGUAAAAACCUAAAAAAAAUAGUCACCUAUAAAGUAUUAUUCAUAUUUUAUCAUAUAGUAACAACAAAAAUAUUAAUCGCAAAAAAAUUUCAAAUAAGACAAAUGGUCAAACGUUGGACACGGAAAACGAAAAAUGAGGUUAUU
rfam:Oryza brachyantha chromosome 8, whole genome shotgun sequence.